rnacentral:rRNA from 1 species
GGAAGUUAUACGGCGAACUGCGAAUGGCUCAUUAUAUAAGUUAUCGUUUAUUUGAUAGCACCUUACUACUUGGAUAACCGUGGUAAUUCUAGAGCUAAUACAUGCUGAAAAUCCCGACUUCGGAAGGGAUGUAUUUAUUAGAUUAAAAACCAAUGCCCUCUGGGCUCCCUGGUGAUUCAUGAUAACUGCUCGAAUCGCAUGGCCUUGCGCCGGCGAUGGCUCAUUCAAAUUUCUUCCCUAUCAACUUUCGAUGUUUGGGUAGUGGCCAAACAUGGUGGCAACGGGUAACGGAGGGUUAGGGCUCGGCCCCGGAGAAGGAGCCUGAGAAACGGCUACUACAUCCAAGGAAGGCAGCAGGCGCGCAAAUUACCCAAUCCCGACACGGGGAGGUAGUGACAAUAAAUACUGAUACAGGGCUCUUUUGGGUCUUGUAAUUGGAAUGAGUACAAUUUAAAUCCCUUAACGAGGAACAAUUGGAGGGCAAGUCUGGUGAACGUUGCUGGCGCCAGAGAGAGCCGCCCCUCCGUAAACGAAGCGGCUAGUCGAGUGCUCGUGGCAGUAACGGGUGAGCACCGGCGAGACAACCUGGGUCGGGGGAGGCUAAGGGCCCCGGGCCUAUGCUAAUCCCGAGCAGAGCCGAUUUCCUACGGCCUGUGUAGAGCGCGCUAAGGUGUCGGUCCCGGGGCUCCCGCCAGCGGGAGUCCCCCGGGGCUUGAGGUACGUGCCAAUCCCCUGCGAAAGCAGGGCCCUGCGGAUUAGCACCCGUUAUGCGAAGCCGCAGGGGGCCUCCGAGCGAGGCAGUGAUCAUAUUGCUGUAAAUGGCCAGCAGCCGCGGUAAUUCCAGCUCCAAUAGCGUAUAUUAAAGUUGUUGUGGUUAAAAAGCUCGUAGUUGAACCUUGGGCCUGGCUGGCCGGUCCGCCUCACCGCGUGCACUGGUCCGGCCGGGCCUU